UCUCCGUUGGUGAACCAGCGGAGGGAUCACUACCGAGUUUACAACUCCCAAACCCAAUGUGAACCAUACCAAACUGUUGCCUCGGCGGGGUCACGCCCCGGGUGCGUCGCAGCCCCGGAACCAGGCGCCCGCCGGAGGGACCAACCAAACUCUUUCUGUAGUCCCCUCGCGGACGUUAUUUUCACAGCUCUGAGCAAAAAUUCAAAAUGAAUCAAAACUUUCAACAACGGAUCUCUUGGUUCUG
rnacentral:misc_RNA from 1 species